GGCGGGGUAGCUCAGUUGGUUAGAGCAGCGGAAUCAUAAUCCGCGUGUCGGGGGUUCAAGUCCCUCCCUCGCUACCA
rnacentral:tRNA from 20 species